GGUCUGAUGGUCUAGAGGCAUGAUUCUCUCUUAGGGUUAUUCGCCUUAAAUGGGAGAGGUCCCGGGUUCAAUCCCCGGUCAGACCC
rnacentral:tRNA from 1 species